rnacentral:rRNA from 1 species
AAGUCGUAACAAGGUUUCCGUAGGUGAACCUGCGGAAGGAUCAUUAUUGAAUAAAACUGGCGAGUUGUCGCUGGCUCCUAGGAGCAUGUGCACGCUCGUCAUCUUUACCCAUCCACCUGUGCACCAUGUGUAGGCUUUGAGUGAGAAUGUGUUGUGGCCGAGAGGCUGCAAAAUGUCAAUCUCGGGCCUAUGUCUUUUUCAUAUACCACGCAGUAUGUCACAGAAUGUAUUUGAUGGGCCUCUGUGCCUAUAAAAACCAAUACAACUUUCAGCAACGGAUCUCUUGGCUCUCGCAUCGAUGAAGAACGCAGCGAAAUGCGAUAAGUAAUGUGAAUUGCAGAAUUCAGUGAAUCAUCGAAUCUUUGAACGCACCUUGCGCUCCUUGGUAUUCCGAGGAGCAUGCCUGUUUGAGUGUCAUUAUAUUCUCAACCCUUUCAGCUUUGCUGAUUAGUGGAUUGGAUUGUGGGGGUUAUGCCUGCCGGCCUUCUCUAUUGAGGUCAGCUCCCCUGAAAUGCAUUAGCGGAACGGUUUGCGAUCCCGUCACUGGUGUGAUAAUUAUCUGCGCCGCGACGAGGGCCGCUCUCUGUCUGUUCAGCUUACAAUUAGUCCCCGGUUGGUGGACAACUAUUGAACGUUUGACCUCAAAUCAGGUAGGAUUACCCGCUGAACUUA